rnacentral:rRNA from 1 species
CAGCCGCCACGGGAAUACGAAGGGUGCAAGCGUUAAUCGGAAUUACUGGGCGUAAAGCGUGCGUAGGCGGUGAGUUAAGUCUGCUGUGAAAUCCCCGGGCUCAACCUGGGAAUGGCAAUGGAUACUGGCAAGCUAGAGUGUGUCAGAGGAUGGUGGAAUUCCCGGUGUAGCGGUGAAAUGCGUAGAGAUCGGGAGGAACAUCAGUGGCGAAGGCGGCCAUCUGGGACAACACUGACGCUGAGGCACGAAAGCGUGGGGAGCAAACAGGAUUAGAUACCCGCGUAGUCCCUGUCUCUUAUAC